GGAAAAAACGGCUGUAGCACUGUGUCUGCUGAAGAUAUUCUUCUUUUUCAGAAAGUGAAUCCUUAUGUGGAACUAUUAAAAGAGGCAUGGUCACAUUAUAGUUCACAGUUUGCACAGGCACUUAAAUAUAACAAAUAAAGCACUGGAGGAAGUGAUGUGUGAGCCAUGGAUCAUCUCACUGAGGAGCUACAGGUCUGGUGUCCCUGUGGAGAAGGUUGGCUGUGUCACUAGGGGGAUUGUGCAAUUAAUGGAGCCAUACAGCCCUGGGAGCUGGCUGAGAUCUGGAUUGCUCGGAUCAAGGACAUGAGAGCCCCACCUACUCCCAUCUGUAGAUGCAUCCAUGCAGACACUCGCUGGCUGUUCCCUUUCAGAAUGUGCACUGUUAUCCACCUUGCUGCUGUAUCCUGCA
rnacentral:lncRNA from 1 species